UGGAGUUGAGCUUUUGUUUUUUAGCCAUGGAUUUUGAAGAGUAGAGCAGACCCAGGUAACCAGACCCAAAAGACCCAAUCUCAAUAUAUUAUUUUUCAAUAAUCUUUCAAAAAUAAUACAAAAAGCAAUUGCAUAAUUUUCCUUUCAUUUCCGAUCAUUUGAUCCCAGUGGCGUCCACAACACAAACAACAUUCUAUGAACAAAUAUAUUUUUGAAAGUGUAACAGCAUUCUAUGAAUGCAUGACAUCUUUAUUACAUUUUAUAAAUGUGUUGUAAAUUUCAUAAAAAAAUAUGUGGUGAUGAGUGAGUUUUAUAAAGAAUGGAGGUCAAUAGUAUAGGAGUAUACGAAGUUUGGAGAACAAGCGGAAGCGUGGCUUUUCAUGUUACACAAUGUUCUGGGACAGUCUGAUGCCUUUAAGCUUUCUAUUUUCUUUUCAAGGCCCCCCCCCCACCACCCCCCUUCUUCGAAUGAUGAAAAAAAAAAUACCCGAAGGUAAAUGCCCUUUCUAGCAACAUUAUUUUAAUUCGAGAAACAUGAAUUAAAAAUUUCCAAUUAACACAUAUGACAAGGUUUGAUGCUAUUAAUUAUAUGUUUGAUAUUGUGCUUUAAAAAUAUUUACACUUUAGGUGGAUGCUUAAUCUGACAUAUUAAAGUGAAAAACCAAGAUUUACACUUUAGGUAAACAGCCGCCUUGAUUAAACCAGCUUUGUCGGAAGGACUACCGGAGAGGCUGCUAAGAAUCUCUCCAAGAAGCAUCCUGUUAUGGCUGCUACCAAGGUUUCAGGUCACCAACUGGACCUGCAGUCCAGUUCAAGAUCUUCUCACCUGGCCUAAGGUAAACACUUCUAUCAUGAGGUAAUUUUCGUGCAAGUCCAUUCAAUACUUGAUGGAAAGCAUCUCCUGGUUGGGCAGGUUGUGGGAAUAGCAUAGCCUGCUUCAUUGAAGGGUUAGCGAGCAGUCUCUGCUUCCUCAAUAUUACUUCAGGUGGAAUGGAAGUGAGUAUGGUGUCCAAAUUUGGAACAUCUUCCUCAUCUACAUAUACCCCAAUUUCUUCCCAUGGGAUUGCAUCAGCAAAGGGUAAAACAAUGUCAU
rnacentral:lncRNA from 1 species